UUUUUUUUUUUUUUUCAGACGGAGUCUCACUCUGUCACCAGGCUGGAGUACAGUGGUGUGAUCUCGGCUCACUGCAACCUCCGCCUCCCAGGUUCAAGCGAUUCUCCUGCCUCAGCCUCUCAAGUAGCUGAGAUUACAGACGUGUGUCACCAUGCCCUGUUAAUUUUUGUUUGUUUGUUUUGUUUUUUGUUUUGUUUUGUUUCGUUUUUUGUUUUUUUUUUUUGAGACGGAGUCUUGCUCUGUCGCCCAGGCUGGAGUGCAGUGGCCCCGAUCUCGGCUCACCGCAAGCUCCGCCUCGCGGGUUCAUGCCAUUCUCCGGCCUCAGCCUCCCGAGUAGCUGGGACUACAGGCAUCCGCCACCACACCCAGCUAAUUUUUUGUAUUUUUUUUAGUAGAGACGGGGUUUCACUGUGUUAGCCAGGAUGGUCUCGAUCCCCUGACCUUGUGAUCCACCCAAGGCCUCGGCCUCCCAAAGUGCUGGGAUUACAGGCAUGAGCCACCGUGCCCGGUCAAUUUUUAUAUUUUUUGUAGAGACAGGGUUUCACCAUGUUGGCCAGGCUGGUGUCGAACUCCCGACCUCAGGUGAUUGUCGGCCUUGGCCUCCCAAAGUGCUGGGAUUACAGGCGUGAGCCACCGCGCCCAGCCGGUGGGCAGCCAGUUGUGUUCCGGGAGGAGGAGGACACCCUGGAAAGACAGUGGGGCCAGACACUGAACUGCCUUUGGAAGCAAGUAGGAGCAACAGCGAAGGUUUGCUGGCUCAGAAGCAAGGUCUCGCUGUGUUACCCUGGCUGGAGUGCAGUGGCUACUUACAGGCAUGAUCAUAGCAUACUGCAGCCUCGAACUCCUGGACUAGAGCAGUUCUCCUGCCUCAGCCUCCAGAGCAGCUGGGACUGCAGACACGCACCACAGAGCCCAGCCUGAGUCAUUUUGAUUCUGUAACUGGCUUCCUCUCGGCGGGCAGGCUCACACCCUCCACCCCCAGCUGGAGAUGGAAGGAGGAUGCUCACCGCCCAUUCCUCAUGCAGGCCAUCGAUGGAAAUGUCAGACAGUGCGAGUCCACGCCUGAACACUUCUGGGGUCCGCUCUGGGACUGACACUGGCAGAUCCAUCGGUGAGCUCCCGCCUGCCACCUCUGGGCCUGCAUUGCGGUGAUAGGGCCAAGGGCCUGGGCCUUCAAUUCUCCAGACUUGCCAAAAUGCUCAGCGCAGGCCUCGUCGGCAACUGCAGACAAGCAGAGGCAGCACCUGGGCUCUGCCUGUGCCUGGCACAGUGAAGCGAGGGUGGGGGCAGGAAUGAGGGUCCUCUCCAUGCAAGGGGGGAAGAUAGAAGAACAAAAUUUCACC
rnacentral:lncRNA from 1 species